AGAGCGAACGCUGGCGGCAGGCCUAAUACAUGCAAGUCGAACGGAUCCUUCGGGAUUAGUGGCGGACGGGUGAGUAACACGUGGGAACGUGCCCUUUGGUUCGGAACAACUCAGGGAAACUUGAGCUAAUACCGAAUGAGCCCCCAUCCUUAAACAAGAUGGGUGGGAAAGAUUUAUCGUCAUUGGAGCGGCCCGCGUCUGAUUAGCUAGUUGGUGGGGUAAAGCCCACCAAGGCGACGAUCAGUAGCUGGUCUGAGAGGAUGAUCAGCCACACUGGGACUGAGACACGGCCCAGACUCCUACGGGAGGCAGCAGUAGGGAAUCUUGCGCAAUGGGCGAAAGCCUGACGCAGCCAUGCCGCGUGAAUGAUGAAGGUCUUAGGAUUGUAAAAUUCUUUCAGCGGGGACGAUAAUGACGGUACCCGCAGAAGAAGCCCGGCUAACUUCGCGCCAGCAGCCGC
rnacentral:rRNA from 1 species